AUUGAACGCUGGCGGAAUGCUUUACACAUGCAAGUCGAACGGCAGCACGGACUUCGGUCUGGUGGCGAGUGGCGAACGGGUGAGUAACAUAUCGGAACGUAUCCAAUAAUGGGGGAUAACUAAUCGAAAGGUUGGCUAAUACCGCAUACGCCCUACGGGGGAAAGCAGGGGAUCUUCGGACCUUGCGUUAAUGGAGCGGCUGAUAUCUGAUUAGCUAGUUGGUGAGGUAAAGGCUCACCAAGGCGACGAUCAGUAGCUGGUCUGAGAGGACGACCAGCCACACUGGAACUGAGACACGGUCCAGACUCCUACGGGAGGCAGCAGUGGGGAAUUUUGGACAAUGGGCGCAAGCCUGAUCCAGCCAUUCCGCGUGAGUGAAGAAGGCCUUCGGGUUGUAAAGCUCUUUCGCAAGGGAAGAAAACUUACUUUCUAAUAAAGAGUGAGGUUGACGGUACCUUGAUAAGAAGCACCGGCUAACUACGUGCCAGCAGCCGCCGCAG
rnacentral:rRNA from 1 species